rnacentral:rRNA from 1 species
UCGAGGAUCUUCGGCAAUGGGCGCAAGCCUGACCGAGCGACGCCGCGUGUGCGAUGAAGGCCUUCGGGUUGUAAAGCACUGUCGAGGGGGAGGAAGCCGCAAGGUUGACCUAUCCCUGGAGGAAGGACGGGCUAAGUUCGUGCCAGCAGCCGCGGUAAGACGAACCGUCCUAACGUUGUUCGGAAUCACUGGGCUUAAAGGGCGCGUAGGCGGCCCAAAAAGUCCGGGGUGAAAGCCCCCAGCUCAACUGGGGAAGUGCCUCGGAUACUGUUGGGCUCGAGGGAGGUAGGGGCAGCUGGAACUUCCGGUGGAGCGGUGAAAUGCGUUGAUAUCGGAAGGAACGCCGGUGGCGAAAGCGAGCUGCUGGACCUCAUUCUGACGCUGAGGCGCGAAAGCUAGGGGAGCAAACGGGAUUAGAUACCCCCGUAGUCC